UCUACGGGAGGCAGCAGUGAGGAAUAUUGGUCAAUGGGCGCGAGCCUGAACCAGCCAAGUAGCGUGAAGGAUGACUGCCCUACGGGUUGUAAACUUCUUUUAUAAAGGAAUAAAGUGAGGCACGUGUGCCUUUUUGUAUGUACUUUAUGAAUAAGGAUGGGCUAACUAUGUGCCAGCAGCCGCGGUAAUACGGAGGAUCCGAGCGUUAUCCGGAUUUAUUGGGUUGAAAGGGAGCCUAGAUGGAUUGUUAAGGCCGUUGGUAAAGUUUUCGGCUCAACCGUUAAAUUGCAUUUGAUACUGGCAGCCUUGAGUACAGUAGAGGUAGGCGGAAUUCGUGGUGUAGCGGUGAAAUGCGUAGAUAUCACGAAGAACUCCGAUUGCGAAGGCAGCUUACUAAGCUGCCACUGACAUUGAUGCUCGAAAGUGUGGGUAUCAAACAGGAUUAGAUACCCGUGUAGUC
rnacentral:rRNA from 1 species